rnacentral:lncRNA from 1 species
UAAUACUGUUUUUUUUUUUUUUUUCUUCUUUACAGCUUUCCAGACCAUUUAAACUUCCUUGGACUAGCUUCGAUGUUAUAUUCUCAAAGCUUGAAUUUUUAAUUAAUGUCUUCUAACUACUUUUGACUAGGAUUUUGCCAGUCAUAAAAAAAUUGCUUGCUAAUUUUGUAUUUGCUAUAAUACUUAGGUGAUAGAAAUAUCUGGGUUUUGUAGUUAGUGUUGAGUGACCUUUCCAGGAUUUAGUAUUGGUUUUGUGCUCUUCCCAUUCUCUCAUGGCAGUGACACACUGGAACCUGGGCUGAUUGCUUUGGAAUAUAGGGAGAACAUCUGGGAGAAGUCAACUGGAAUUCCUGAGUAAAAAGUAUUUAUCUGCCUUGGUUUCUAAUCUUUUCUUCAUUUAUUUUUAAAGGUCGGGGGAGAGAGGAAAAGAAAAAGAAAAAUUUUUGGUAUCUUCAUCUCUACUCAUUCUUUCCCAAAUAGCAGGGAUGACAGAAUAUAUCUUUCAAAAAGUUGAGAAGCCUUUCCUAUCCUAUUUUAAAAAAGUAGAUCUAAUAUAUCAUUCAAGGAAGGGAGGUCAUUCCAGGUCUUGAAAUUUCUGUAGGGAAGGGGCAAUCACAUGAAGAAGGGAGAAAGGAAUAAUGGGGUUAUGUUUGAAUAAUUCAUGGUUAUUUUACCAGAUUUGAAAUGGGCAAGUCAGCACCUUUUAAUCUCAAAUACUAUAAUAUGAGGAGGUAUGAGAUCUGUGCCUGGGCUCCCUGGAGACCUAUACCUGAAAUAACUUUAUUAACCCUGGCCUAGAACUGAGGAAAAAGAACUUCUCUGAGUUACCCCUUCUUUGAAGUUGCCUUGUUCCUAGAUGAUUUCCUUGAAAUAGAAUUGUCACUAAGGAUUUUUGUUUAAGUAGCUCCUUUCCAGAAGAUAUGUAAGUAAGGGUAUUCUUGUUC